GAGGAUUUAGCUUAAAUAAAGUGAUUGAUUUGCGUUCAGUUGAUGUAGGAUAAAAUCUUGCAGUCCUUA
rnacentral:tRNA from 2 species